UACGGAGGGUGCGAGCGUUGUCCGGAAUCAUUGGGCGUAAAGGGCGCGUAGGUGGCGGCUUAAGCGUGCGGUGAAAGCUCGGGGCUCAACCCCGAGUCGGCCGUGCGAACUGAGUCGCUUGAGCACUGUAGAGGCAGGCGGAAUUCCGGGUGUAGCGGUGGAAUGCGUAGAGAUCCGGAAGAACACCGGUGGCGAAGGCGGCCUGCUGGGCAGUAGCUGACGCUGAGGCGCGACAGCGUGGGGAGCAAACAGG
rnacentral:rRNA from 1 species